GGAUCCAAGAUGGCGUAGAAAGUAAUGACAGGAUUUGGAUGAAGUAAUUGAUCACUAAUGAACUACAGUGCUGGUGAGAUGUGUAAGAAAUUAUAAAGAGCUCUGAUGGGCUAUUUGGGUGACACCCAGUGCAGUGAACUGCAGGAUUUUUGUCCCUGAGUCAUGGAAGACAGAAGAGCUGAAAAGUCAUGUGAACAAGCAUGUGAAUCACUUAAGAGGCAGGACUAUGAAAUGGCCCUCAAGCACUGCACAGAGGCCCUUCUUUCUCUUGGCCAGUACUCCAUGGCAGACUUCACAGGGCCUUGUCCAUUGGAAAUAGAACGCAUCAAAAUCGAGAGUCUUCUCUACAGAAUUGCCUCAUUUUUGCAACUGAAAAAUUAUGUGCAAGCUGAUGAAGAUUGUAGACAUGUGCUGGGAGAAGGACUGGCCAAGGGAGAGGAUGCCUUUCGGGCAGUGCUUUGCUGCAUGCAGCUGAAAGGGAAGCUCCAACCUGUAUCUGCCAUUCUUGCCAAGUCACUGACAGGAGAGUCCCUGAAUGGGAUGGUAACAAAGGAUUUGACAAGACUAAAAACACUUCUCUCAGAAACAGAGAUUUUUAGAGCAAGGAAUCUGUAGGUAUGGUGCCCAGUGUACUUCAGCACAUUCCCAGGAAGAACUAGCAGAAUGGCAGAAAAGAUAUGCGUCACGGCUGAUAAAAUUGAAACAGCAAAAUGAGAAUAAACAGCUCUCAGGCAGUUACAUGGAAACCUUGAUAGAAA
rnacentral:sRNA from 1 species